UACGUAGGGUGCAAGCGUUGUCCGGAUUUAUUGGGCGUAAAGAGCUCGUAGGCGGUCUGUCACGUCGGCUGUGAAACCUCGGGGCUCAACCCCGAGCCUGCAGUCGAUACGGGCAGACUAGAGUUCGGCAGGGGAGACUGGAAUUCCUGGCGUAGCGGUGAAAUGCGCAGAUAUCAGGAGGAACACCGGUGGCGAAGGCGGGUCUCUGGGCCGAUACUGACGCUGAGGAGCGAAAGCGUGGGGAGCGAACAGG
rnacentral:rRNA from 1 species